rnacentral:rRNA from 1 species
UACAGAGGUCUCAAGCGUUGUUCGGAUUCAUUGGGCGUAAAGGGUGCGUAGGUGGCGCGAUAAGUCGGGUGUGAAAUCUCGGAGCUUAACUCCGAAACUGCAUUCGAUACUGCCGUGCUUGAGGACUGGAGAGGAGACUGGAAUUUACGGUGUAGCGGUGAAAUGCGUAGAUAUCGUAAGGAAGACCAGUGGCGAAGGCGGGUCUCUGGACAGUUCCUGACGCUGAGGCACGAAGGUCAGGGGAGCAAACGGG